GGGGCAUUUUCAGGCUUUAUUUUUGACAGGACAGAUGAAGACAUGAAAGGGGAGAGAGAAGGGGAAAGACAUGCAGCAAAGGGAGUCGAACUGGGGCCCGCUGCAUCGAGAAGUAAACCUCUAUAUAUGGGCGCCCGCUCUACCAACUGAGCUAUCCGGGCGCCUAGUUUGAAAUGAUUUUAUUUUUUUUAAAUGAUGUACCU